GACGUAGGGCGCAAGCGUUGUCCGGAUUUAUUGGGCGUAAAGAGCUCGUAGGCGGCUUGUUGCGUCGUCCGUGAAAACCCGUGGCUCAACUGCGGGCUUGCGGACGAUACGGGCAGGCUGGAGUUCGGUAGGGGAGACUGGAAUUCCUGGUGUAGCGGUGAAAUGCGCAGAUAUCAGGAGGAACACCGGUGGCGAAGGCGGGUCUCUGGGCAAUAACUGACGCUGAGGAGCGAAAGCGUGGGGAGCGAACAGG
rnacentral:rRNA from 1 species